CAAUAGCGUAUAUUAAAGUUGUUGCGGUUAAAAAGCUCGUAGUUGGAUUUCUGUUGAGGAUGGCCGGUCCGCUCUAUGAGCGUGUAUCUGGUUCAGCCUUGGCAUCCUCUUGGGGAACGUAGCUACGCUUGAUUGCGCGGUGCGGUAUUCAAGACUUUUACUUUGAGGAAAUUAGAGUGUUCACGGCAGGCAUUCGCCUUGAAUAUGUUAGCAUGGAAUAAUAAUAUAGGACCUUGGUUCUAUUUUGUUGGUUUCUAGAACUAGGGUAAUGAUUAAUAGGGAUAAUUGGGGGCAUUUGUAUUAACGCGUCAGAGGUGGAAUUCUUGGAUUGCGUUACGACAAACUACUGCGAAAGCAUUUGCCAAGGAUGUUUUCAUUGAUCAAGAACGAAAGUGAGGGAUCGAAGAUGAUCAGAUACCAU
rnacentral:rRNA from 1 species